rnacentral:rRNA from 1 species
GAAGGUGGCGAGCGUUGUUCGGUGUCACUGGGCUUAAAGCGUGUGUAGGCGGAAAAGUAAGCGUUUUGUGAAAUCCCCCGGCUUAACCGGGGAACUGCUCGACGUACUGCUUUUCUUGAGGCAAGUAGGGGUGCAUGGAACUCUUGGUGGAGCGGUGGAAUGCGUAGAUAUCAAGAGGAACGCCGGUGGAGAAAUCGGUGCACUGGGCUUGUUCAGACGCUGAGACACGAAAGCGUGGGGAGCGAACGGGAUUAGAUACCCCGGUAGUCCACGCCGUAAACGAUGUCUACUAGGUUGUGGGGGUUCUGACACUCGCACGGCCGAAGCAAAAGUGUUAAGUAGACCGCCUGGGGAGUACGGUCGCAAGGCUA